GUUGCAUUGAAGAGAUAACUUAAUAUGCGAUUUUCUGAAGUCGCAUUCGAAAGAUAGAAGAACACCAGAUCCGAAUUCUGAAGUUACAUUGAAGAGAUAGAAGAACUUCAGAUAUUGACGAUCUCGUGUUCAUUCCAAACAUUCAUCAGUGUAAGUGUUGGAUCUAGUGAUGAUAACUCUGAGGAGGAGGUAAACAACUUUUCUGACAUGAGACCAAUCAGCUUAAGCAAUUUCAUCAACAAGGUGUUUUCCAGAGUCAUUCAUGAGAGGUUAGUUGGUGUCCUUCCUACUCUUAUUUCUGAUGAGCAAGCAGGAAAAAAUAAAAUAAUCUUCGCCGUUCACGUAUCCUGUAUCCAACCUUCACAUGUCCUUCGGCUCAAAAACGUACUACACCUCCUCUAUAUCUUCAUAGGUCGAAAGGAAUUGUCUUCGCUCAUUCCAAAAACAAAUAAAAAGAGUUCAACCAGUACUACUAUCUUUUAUACAGAGACCCCAAAGUCAAAAUCAAUAUACAGACCGUCAUAAACCAAGAUCCGAACAGAUAAUUCUUGUUUGGAGUAUUGUCCAAGAUAAGGAAAAUGUUGCUUUACAUCCUAAGUUGAGGUUGAUAAAUGAUAAGCUUAAGUUAUCGCUUGAAUUGGUUGUUCUGUCUCGACCAUUCUUGCAGGACCUUCAAACACUGCCAAGAGAUAACAGGAUAUUUGGCCUCGCUUCUGCGCCAAACCUUCCGCAUAUGCGGUCCCUGCCUCCUCCGGCCCAGCGAGCUUCUACAACCCAAUCGCACUUGUGGCAGGUGCAAAAACACUAGAAAUAUGAAUUGAUCUGCAACUCAUCUGAAACGCACCCGAACCCCUCGGAACCCGUCCAAACACAUCAACCAAUCCUAAAACAUUCAUGAUGAGCCUGCUACACUUCCUACGAACAAAAUUCCUACAUAUUAUAAAUCCCAACGUUUUUUGUUUGGCGAUACUUUCAAGGAAGAACCCCAAUCUCAUGAACGAGUACAAGUUGAUUAUCAUACUACGCGCAAGCAUAAGCUCAUUGCCCUCCAAGCCUUUUCCAAUGAGACAAUAUUGCAGAAAAAGAUAGUUUACCCUAACAAAGGGUAAAGUGCUAAUAUAUUCUAGCUACAAAUAGCCAAAUAUACCCAGAAAAUCUCAUUUAGUGAAGAGAUGUGGGAGAAAACAACAGCAAUUGAAUUUCUUUAAAACCCUCUGAAAAGCAGGAUUUUAGAGAGUCGGUAUCAAUAAUAUAACUUGACAGGCCAUAUGGAUGGACGAAAUUGAUCACAACAAUCAAAGACAAAAUGUUGAUCAGUAUAGAUCCUUCAAAAAGAUAUGGG